GGUUCGAUGGUGUAGUUGGUUAUCACGUCUGUCUCACACGUGAAUGCUUAGUCAGUAGUGAUCACAGGAGGUCUCCGGUUCGAGCCCGGGUCGAACCA